rnacentral:lncRNA from 1 species
GGAGGCUCCCGAGAAGGCCCCGGAACGUGCUGGAUGAUGCUGGAACGUGCUGGAACACUCUAGAAGGCUAUUAUGACGGUCAGCGAGUGUCAUGAAAGGUCUAGUCCUCUCUAGAAUGUUCUAGGCUUCCUUGUUAUGUACCAAAUGAACUUGUAAUCUCUAGAAUCUCCCUUGGCCGACCUUCUAAGGCCCAAGGUCGGUGGGGAUGGUCUAUAAAUACUUGGGAGGGCCUCAUUUGUAUCAAGCCUUGCAACCUUGCAUCUUGGCAUGUCUUAGCCAAGCAAGGUCACCUUGCCACCCAAAGUCUCCUUGCCCAUGGUAUCCCCAUGACAAGAAGACAGCAUAUUUGUACCCAAAUAUGUAUUCAUCUAUUGUUGGAAUGCAAUGUAUCAUUCCAAAGACGUAUCCAUCCAAACUCCCUCAUCCUUCCAACCUCUCUCGUGUCUUGCAACCAACCUUAGUACUUCCGCUGCAACCCGUUGUCGUAGUGCUUGGCGCACUACCCCUUCCGGGAAAGGCUUACUUGGCUACGUGGGCAUUGUAGUUAGCCAAGUGCCGCACGUAUGGUUAGCUUCAGAUCCUAACCACGUGACAUGAGGCAUGCAUACUACCAAAUAUACUAUAAAUAAACCAUAAUUCUUUUUUAAGAAAUUAAACAACUAAUUAAAUAUAAAGAAGAAAGAUUAGAAAAUGAAUGAUCAAACAAACUAUGACUCAUUUAUUUUUGACAGGUUCGGCCAGUAUCACCUGACAAUUCAUUUUCACCAAGAAAAAUAAACAUGAGUAGCCUUGGAAUCAAGUUCCUCCGAUAAAAGCCACGGAGUUAAUGGGUUAGAGACAGAACCAGAAAUUUGAGUUCAACGAUGUGGAUGGAAAAUUCUGAAACUAGGAGCAACAGGAAGUUAAGACAACAAAUUAUUUUUAAUAUAGAAAGGGUAAUUGUAAGAAGUUGUUAAUGAAGUGUCCAAAUGCAUUAUGGUAAUAUUGGGUGCAGAAUGUUUGGUAGUUUUAUCCGUGUGCUGUGAAGCACCACAGAGUUGAAGCAUAUGAAACCAGUGUUUAUCUGACAAAAAAUAGUGUCAUAAUCAUUGCCUUUCCAUUCCAUAAAUUUAUGGAUAGCAGAAGAAAGAGAACUCUCAACACUUGAAUCACCAUAUAGCAGUCUACAUCCGGGUGGUGCCUUGAUUUUUGAAGAUUUAGUUAAAAGCAGUGAUAAAAUUGGUACAUAAAUUACAGUGCAUUUCUCGAUAUGCAACAACAUUAAGAGCAACUUAAAGACAACAGUCAUCAAGAAAUCUAGUAUUUAAAAUGUACAAAGAGCAGUAGUAAACAUAUGUAUUUUAUGGCUGACUUUAUCCAUAAUAAAUGUUGGAUUAAAUCAUCAAAAUAAAACACAAACAGAUAAUUAUCGAGUUUUUCAAUGGAGGAUAGAGAGGAAGACAUGCAUGCACAACUACUAGAUCUAUAUGGUGCCAUACUGC